UACGUAGGGGGCAAGCGUUGUCCGGAAUCAUUGGGCGUAAAGAGCGCGUAGGCGGCCCGAUAAGUCCGCUGUGAAAGUCAAGGGCUCAACCCUUGAAUGCCGGUGGAUACUGUCGGGCUAGAGUCCGGAAGAGGCGAGUGGAAUCCUGGUGUAGCGGUGAAAUGCGCAGAUAUCAGGAGGAACACCAGUGGCGAAGGCGGCUCACUGGUCCGGUACUGACGCUGAGGUGCGAAAGCGUGGGGGAGCAAACAGG
rnacentral:rRNA from 1 species